AGCUGCUCGGGAGGCUGAGGCAGGAUUGCUUUACCAGUUACAGGUUCCUUUGUUCCUUCUCCACUCUCACUGCUUCACUUGACCAGCCUUAA
rnacentral:sRNA from 1 species